rnacentral:rRNA from 1 species
GAUGAACGUUGGCGGUGUGCCUAAUACAUGCAAGUCGAACGGAGACUGUAGCAAUACUGUCUUAGUGGCGAACGGGUGAGUAACGCGUUGGUGAUCUGCCUCGAAGUGUGGAAUAACCUCCCGAAAGGGAAGCUAAUACCGCAUAGUCUCUCAAGGUUUAGAAAAUUGAGAGUAAAGGAUUUAUUCGCUUCGAGAGGAGCCUGCGUCCCAUCAGCUAGUUGGUAGGGUAACGGCCUACCAAGGCAAUGACGGGUAGGGGACCUGAGAGGGUGGCCCCCCACAAUGGAACUGAAACACGGUCCAUACACCUACGGGUGGCAGCAGUAGGGAAUAUUAGAAAUGGGCGGAAGCCUGAUCUAGCAACGCCGCGUGUGCGAAGAAGGCCUUCGGGUUGUAAAGCUACUUUUUGAGAGGAUGAGGAAGGACGGUACUCUCAGAAUAAGUCUCGGCUAACUACGUG